rnacentral:rRNA from 1 species
GACGAACGCUGGCGGCGUGCCUAAUACAUGCAAGUAGAACGCAGUUGCGAACGGGUGAGUAACGCGUAGGUAACUGCCUGGUAGCGGGGGAUAACUAUUGGAAACGAUAGCUAAUACCGCAUACUACCAGAUGGACCUGCGUUGUAUUAGCUAGUUGGUGAGGUAACGGCUCACCAAGGCAACGAUACAUAGCCGAACUGUGAGGGGGAUCUACCAAAUGGGGACGGAGACACGGCCCAGACUCCGUCGGGAGGCAGCAGGAGUGAAUCUUCGGCAAUGGGGUGAAACCUGAACGAGCAACGCCGCGUGAGUGAAGAAGUUUGUCGGAUCGGAAAGCUCUGUUGUUAAGGAAGCGGUACUUAACCAGAAAGGGACGGCUAACUACGUGCCAGCAGCCGCGGUAAUAC